rnacentral:rRNA from 1 species
UACAUGGGGUGCAAACGUUUGCUCGGAAUUAUUGGGCGUAAAGCGCACGUAGGCGGUCCGUUAAGUCGGGAUGUGAAAGCCCCCGGCUCAACCGGGGAAGUGCAUCCGAAACUGGCAGGCUAGAGUACGAAAGAGGGUCGCGGAAUUCCCGGUGUAGAGGUGAAAUUCGUAGAUAUCGGGAGGAACACCGGUGGCGAAGGCGGCGACCUGGGUAGAUACUGACGCUGAGGUGCGAAAGCGUGGGGAGCAAACAGGG